CGCCGAAACGCCCUCCGGGGCGUCGUCGGGGGGUGUUGCCCCCGGCCUGACGAGAGCCACCU
rnacentral:hammerhead_ribozyme from 1 species